CACCUCUGAAAGCUCCUACCACCUCCCAGUAGAGCCGCAGAUUUGUCUAGGUUUGGGGGAGAGAAGGUCUACCUGGAUUUUCCUGCCAUUUCUACAAAUGUAAAUCUAUGCAUGGCUUCACAGAGAGAUUCACAAAAGUACCCACCUAAGAGAAGCUCAUAGCACCAUCAUCCAGAACAAUCACAAGGAAGACAUGAUUAUUCAGACCUCCUGAUGGGCUUCAGGCUGUAGAGAGCUCACAGAAGUAAAACACCCACUGUACAAACAAUAAAGGAAAGAGUGGAUCAUAUGGAAACAUCCA